UACGUAGGGGGCAAGCGUUGUCCGGAUUUAUUGGGCGUAAAGAGCGUGUAGGCGGCUAGGUAGGUCCGUUGUGAAAACUCGAGGCUCAACCUCGAGACGCCGAUGGAAACCAUCUAGCUAGAGUCCGGAAGAGGAGAGUGGAAUUCCUGGUGUAGCGGUGAAAUGCGUAGAUAUCAUGAGGAAUACCAGAGGCGAAGGCGGCUACCUGGACAAUUGCUGACGCUCAGGCACGAAAGCGUGGGGAGCAAAAGGG
rnacentral:rRNA from 1 species